GAUGAACGCUGGCGGCGUGCCUAAUACAUGCAAGUCGAGCGAAUGGAUUAAGAGCUUGCUCUUAUGAAGUUAGCGGCGGACGGGUGAGUAACACGUGGGUAACCUGCCCAUAAGACUGGGAUAACUCCGGGAAACCGGGGCUAAUACCGGAUAACAUUUUGAACCGCAAGGUUCGAAGUUGAAAGGCGGCUUCGGCUGUCACUUAUGGAUGGACCUGCGUCGCAUUAGCUAGUUGGUGAGGUAACGGCUCACCAAGGCAACGAUGCGUAGCCGACCUGAGAGGGUGAUCGGCCACACUGGGACUGAGACACGGCCCAGACUCCUACGGGAGGCAGCAGUAGGGAAUCUUCCGCAAUGGACGAAAGUCUGACGGAGCAACGCCGCGUGAGUGAUGAAGGCUUUCGGGUCGUAAAACUCUGUUGUUAGGGAAGAACAAGUGCUAGUUGAAUAAGCUGACACCUUGACGGUACCUAACCAGAAAGCCACGGCUAACUACGUGCCAGCCGCCGCAGUAA
rnacentral:rRNA from 1 species